UACGUAGGGUGCAAGCGUUGUCCGGAAUUAUUGGGCGUAAAGAGCUCGUAGGCGGUUCGUCGCGUCGGCUGUGAAAUCCCGAGGCUCAACCUCGGGUCUGCAGUCGAUACGGGCGGACUGGAGUUCGGCAGGGGAGACUGGAAUUCCUGGUGUAGCGGUGAAAUGCGCAGAUAUCAGGAGGAACACCGGUGGCGAAGGCGGGUCUCUGGGCCGAUACUGACGCUGAGGCGCGAAAGCGUGGGGAGCGAACAGG
rnacentral:rRNA from 1 species